AACGGCUCCUACAGACCUGAAGAUUACACUUUGUCAUCAAGCAAGUUCAGGUCCUUCACUGGCCGGGGAAGUAUCUAGAAAUAAGUUUGGACUUGGAGAGAAGGGAUGAUGCAACAUGAUGGAAAGAGAUUACAGAUCACAAAUAGGUUGCUGUGCACUAAGAAGACAGCAGGUCACACUCCUGGUGGACAAUAUUUUUUUUUAAUGUUUUUAUGUGUGCUUACGCCCUUAGACUACAUGUGUAUUAUAUAUACAGACUUUUAUUUAUUUAUUUAGUUUUGACCUGUAAAAAUCUCCCAAGGUUAGAAAACUAGGAUUCCUGUUUUUGGAGCUGAAAAGUCCCAUUCAUUUAUUUUUGAUAUUUG